rnacentral:rRNA from 1 species
UGGGUAACCUGCCUCGAUGACCGGGACAACCCGGGGAAACCCGGGGCUAAUACCGGAUGUGCUGCCCUCACCUAAGUGAGGGUUGGAAAGGAAGCUUCGGCCUCCGCAUUGAGAUGGGCCCGCGGCCCAUUAGCUUGUUGGUGAGGUAACGGCUCACCAAGGCUGCGAUGGGUAGCUGGUCUGAGAGGACGAUCAGCCACACGUGGGACUGAGACACGGCCAGACUCCGUACGGGAGGNAG